AGUCAUAAUGAGCAUAGUUGUACAGUAAACGUAUGACUUAACCGUUCUUAAGUAAUCGCUAAUUCGGUAAAGUAAAUAAAAUAAUAACUAAUAUACUUACAUCGUAUUUGGAUUAUAGUUUGAGAAUACAGUCGUCAAAGCUAUCGACGUCUUAUUGUUUAUUGUAUCACUAUAAUCCCAGUCGAAGCACAUAAUGGACUCUAAGACUCUGUUAAUCUGCACUGUGAUGGGAUGUCUGAGUUCGUGUUUGAGAGGAGAAACGGCUGGAGAAAGUCAAUCUCUCGAAAGAAUACCGGUAGAAAGUUUCAGCAGCACGGCAAACGAUGGACGUCAAGACAGUCCUUCAUCGUCUUGGAAAUACUGGCCUUGGAAAUUUUGGAAAUGGGGUCGUUCUGUGUUAAACGAGGGUUUAACACAUACUUCUGAUUUAAUGCAGAGUGCAUCUAGAAGACCUUACUAUAAUAAUGUACAUUCUGAACGGAAAUUGAAGAGAAAGAUAAAAUUUCUUGUGAAAAUACAAAAUUAUGACAAAUAAAA